GUGGAUUACUCCUUAGCAAGUGAAACUCUCAAAUAAGUUAUCAUUGAUCUUACUUUUGAUCGUUAGAUUGACAUAGCUAAGAACCAAGCUCUGAUACCACUUGUUAUCCAAUUAGACAACCCAAGAGGGAGAGGUGAAUUGGGUUUUCACAAAUUUAAAUAAGUAUAUGCAUAUUUUUCAAAUAAACUAAGUUAGCUACUGUGAAUAUGUAGCAAAUGUAAUGUAUAGCAACAGAAUUAAAUAAAUGAAAGCUAAACAAGAAUGUAAAGGAAGUAGAAACAAGCACACCAUACAAACACAAAGAAUUUUAAUUAUCUUGGUUCGGUGCACAUCCAGCACCUAUGUCCACUCCUUAAGCUUCAUUUGAGAAUUUUUAUAAUAAUCUUUGGAUUAUAGUGUGAUUAUUUUAGUCAGCCUCAUAAUCAAAUCUAGUUGAUUUUCUAGGAUCACUAACCCCGACCUUUACAAGCCUUUCUCUAGGCCC
rnacentral:lncRNA from 1 species